UUCUCAUCCAGAUAAUUCAUGCUGGCAUGCUUUCUUGAUAUCACAACAUGAACCCUGUUGUUUCUAAAUAUACCCAGCGCUCAAAAGUCAAUCAGAUUUUCGGACAUCAAUUUAUGGGUUUAAACUCUGCAACUGCUUAUGGUCAUUGUCUUCGUUUACAAACAAAUUUAAUCAACUGAAAUUAGCAAGGCCAAAAGCCGAUUGUUAACCAAAAUUAUGAUAUAAGCCACAACCAAUAGAUAUUUACGUACCAUGAAAAAUAUCAAAGUUAUAUCUACCAAUAAUCGCUUGACCAAAAAAUUAUAACAAUACUGGAGUGCUCUGAAUAUAUGCAUACAAAUCCACAGUUGCAGACGAAAUAUGAACAACAGUUACCUUGGAGUCUCAGUGUUGGGUUUCCAGGUGGAGAAUCAGCUACCUUGGAGCUUAUCAACUUUAGAAGCCACUUAUAUUUCUUUAAGCAACAUUAGAAACAAAAACUAAUUAGAGAAGUUGGAUAAUGCUCUACUUGGAGAUUCCCAUAGGAUCUGCAUUCUUGAUUAUCCAAGGGUGUUCCAUUAUCUUCUGAAGGGAGAGCCUCUUAGACGAGUCCUUCACCAGAAGUCGACUAAUGAGAUUUUUGGCUUCUGCAGAAACUGGGGGAUCAGAAGGGAAAGUCAGAUCCACUUUCAUGAUCCUUCUAAAUGUAUCCUUUUGACUCUCAGCCUCAAAAGGGGGGGCACCAUAAAGGAACUCAUAACAAAGUAUGCCUAAAGUCCAGUUAUCAACUGCAUAAUCAUGAGCUUUAUUUUCCACCAUUUCUGGUGCCAGAUAAUCGAGAGUCCCACACAUAGUGCGCCUCUUGCUCCUUGAUUGCACAGACCACCCAAAGUCGGCAAUUUUCAAACGACCCUCAUGAUCAAGCAACAAAUUUUCUGGCUUGAUAUCCCUGUGAAUCACAUCUUUCUCAUGACAGUAUGCCAAGGCGUUUGUGAGACUUGCAAUGUACUGAAUUGAUAAGAAACAAACAAAAUGGCAGAUAGUAAAUCCUUGAUUGUAUGAAGAAUAAAAGCAAUAAAUCAAAACAACAUAAAGCUGUCUAUACUGGAGAGGGGGAUUUUCACCGUGGCAGCCUGCUUUUCACUGAGAUAACCUUUCUUCUUAAGCUCUCUAUAAAGCUCCCCGCCGAAAGCAUACUCGAGUAUCAAGAAAAUGCGCUCAUCGUCGUGAAACCAACCGUAGAGACGCAGAAUAUUCGGGUGACGAAGACUGGUCUGUAUCUCCAUCUCUCUCUUUAAUUGGUGAUGAAUCCUGUAUUUCUCUAUCUGUUCCUUGAAUAUUACCUUCAGUGCCACUAUGUAUUUGCUCUUGACUUCUCUGGCGAGGUAGACUCUUCCAAAUUUUCCUUUCCCUAGGGGUUUUCCAAUCUCGAAGUCUUGCAAGGACCAUUGCCUCUUCUCUUUAUCUCCUUCUUGUUCUUGAGAUCCAGAAUUCAUUUCUAGAUGACUGGAAACUGAAAUGCGAGGAGAAUCUGAACAGAGGAUUUGUUUCUGGCAAGCUUAGAAAUUUGCUCAGCGAAGGACAAAUUUGAAAUUUUAUUGUAUUGGGAUUUGAAAAUAGCCGACCCGCCUACGUUAACGGCUCGAAAAGACAACACAAUACAGAAUUAAACGCGUUUUCCACCAGCCCUAGUGCAC
rnacentral:misc_RNA from 1 species